UAUUGCGCAAUGGACGAAAGUCUGACGCAGCGACGCCGCGUGUGGGAUGAAGCCUUUCGGGGUGUAAACCACUGUUGCCCGGGACGGAACUCCUUUUUCGAGAGGAUUGACGGUACCGGGUGAGGAAGCACCGGCUAACUCUGUGCCAGCAGCCGCGGUAAUACAGAGGGUGCGAGCGUUGUCCGGAAUCACUGGGCGAAAGGGCGCGUAGGUGGCUUGGAAGCGUGUGGUAAAGCCCGGGGCUCAACCCCGGGUCUGCCGUGCGACUGCCUGGCUUAGCGUGGAGAGGCAGGUGAAUUUCGGGUGAGCGGUGAAUGCGAAGUUCGAAGACACCGGUGGCGAGGCGGCCUGCUGGGCUCUCUGACUGGCCAGCUC
rnacentral:rRNA from 1 species